UACGGAGGGCGCAAGCGUUGUUCGGAAUUACUGGGCGUAAAGCGCGUGUAGGCGGCCAGGUAAGUCGGGUGUGAAAUCCCGGGGCCCAACCCCGGAACUGCACCCGAUACUGCCCGGCUGGAGUCCCGGAGAGGAUGGCGGAAUUUCCGGUGUAGAGGUGAAAUUCGUAGAUAUCGGAAGGAACACCAGUGGCGAAGGCGGCCAUCUGGACGGUGACUGACGCUGAGACGCGAAAGCGUGGGGAGCAAACAGG
rnacentral:rRNA from 1 species